AAGGAGUAAAAGAGGACUCUUUCUAAAUAAGGAGGAGAUGUGAGUUACAGAUUGGGACUGGUGGGAGAAGUUGUUUACAGAGCAGGUAGCUUAGGAGAAGGGACAAGGAAGUUCAUCUCGAGAACAAAGAACCAUGAAGUCAGAAAUUAAACCUUUGAAGAGGUACUUACUGUGUCUGACAGAUUCACUGGAAAUACAGAGAACCCUGGAAAGGAGAAGAAGAAGGUGCUGGCUGAGGUGAAAAAACAGCAUCAAUCAACUUCAGGCUUCUUCAGUUCUAAGCGUAUCUGAGAGGUUCAAGAAAGAGAUAAAAGUAUGAGUGUCAACUUCAAGGACAGAUGCAGAAAAAAUGCCAAUGAGUUUCCUGUUAUAAAGCCCUUGAUAAUUAACUCCAGAGAUUAGAGGGGAGAAGUGGGUGGUGGCAAAGGGAGAGAGAACCAAGAAGGGGAUUCAGGAAUCAGAGAUGUGGAAAGGGAGAGGGUAAGGAUGGGCCACAUUAUAGGAAAGGCUGAAGGAGGAGCCAGUAAGAGUGUUGGACAGGAGCCAGAGGGAAGGUCAGGUUUGUUGUUUUGUUUGCUUUUCUUUUGCUCUCAAAGAAAGGGGAGCCUUUCCGAGCUUUGCAGCUGUCUUCUCUGGUCAUCUCCCUCCAUGGAGUGUGGGGUUCUUCUAUCAUCCAAGCUGCCCCUUCAUAGAACCUCAGUCCGGACAAUCACCAGAAUACAUUUCCCAGGUGGGGUGGAGAAGGCCAGGUUGGCUGAAUCUGGUUCCCUGUGAGGACACAGCUGCUGAGCCCAGUGAGCAGUGAGCAGAUGAUGGCUUCCCAGCCGUCAUUAUCUGCAGCCCCUCAAGGACAAGCCUAUAGCACCCAGUGCUGCCCCAGACUCAGACCUACUGAGCCCUUCAGUUUCUCCCUGCCUUUGUCUAUUUUCUUCUUCACCAAAGUUAUGACUAUGAGGGCCCCUCCUAAGCUGCAGUUGUAUUUAUUGCUCUGCACAGAAUUCCUGUACCAUGACAUACCUGUCUGGUCCAUGCUGCUAUUUUUAGCGAAGUCCUGGGAUCUUGGUCUCACUGAGGGAGAUUCUCUGAUAGACAUCAGAGUAGGGAGUCCAGUUUGGUGAAGGGGAAGCCACCAGAAAUGCACGCCUGUGAGCAGAGUUGCCUCCUUCUUCCACACUCAAGAGUGUGGUCCCUUUUCAGGCUGCCAAGUCUUGUCCUGGAAUAUCUGGGCUGUCAGGGUGGGUCUCCUCCUACUCUCAGCCCACCCACCUUCAGCAUCAAAAGGACCCUGGAGUUUUCUCACUGGACAGAAGGAGACCCAUAAGAGCCAUACUGAGCUCUUCUGUCUCUUACAUGUUGCUUAUGUACCCCUGGCUUAAACCUCACUGUGUGGGGACCGAGGAGCAUCCUUGCAUCUGGUUUUGAAAGACAUAUGAGGGCCUUCAUCCAGAGCUCUGGCUGCAGCAACCCCUGGGGAGGUCCUGAGUCUGCAGACUUGAAGAAUAAUAGAAAGAAGAAUUAGGGAAAUGAGUAGGCAUUAUUCAUUGGAAAUCGUAUAUGGUGUAUUUAGUGCUAACUAACAUGUUCACUUGAGGGUAGCUGUGUUAGAGAGACUCUGUCUUUGAGGUUCAGCUCAUAGACCUGGCAUCAGUAAGAGGAGACCAGCCCCAACACUGCCUCUUCCAAGCCUCGAAUCCUGUGAGGAGUUGGCAGAUAAACUACAGGGCACCCAGAUUUGCAGUCGUAGUCAUCUGGAUACUGUGACCAGGGAUCUUGCCAAGGAGUCUGUCCUCCAAGCACUGAAUGCCCAUCUGCAGGGGAUCCUGGCAAAUGACUUUGGAGUGUUUCACUUAUGAGCAAAAAGAGCAAAGAUGCUCAGUCUUUGAAGAUGGGAAGAAUUAAAACUUCAACUUGGUUUGACCAGAGUCUGUCCUCAGGGGGUCACCAAGGCUGAGCAGUGUCUCACAUACAGGACAAGCCUGCACACGGCCCCCUCCCAGCCCAUGGAUGUGCUUCCUGGCGGAUGCCCCAUCAGCUCUUAGGCUGAGGACAGAGAGAGGAGCAGGUCCACAGCUAAGGAACCAGGUCACCCAGAGGCUCCGGGAGCAACAACAGCUGGGACAGUGAGCCCUGGACAGAGGACACUGACUAUGGAUUUUUUAUGUGAUCCUCCUCAGGGACCCUCACAGACAAACCAAAACCCCAGUCCCUGUGUGUCUUCAGGGCGUAGGUCCUUCCAGGUCCUCUUUUAAUCACUGCUCUAGGUCCCGGGCCUCCUCCUCCUGUGACUCACAAUGGACAGCCUCCUCCUCAGGCUGCACCCUCCUUACCACAUCUGACCCCACACCCGUCUCCUCAUUCCCCCAUAAACCAUCCCCUGCUCACUUCCAUUAGCACUUUUGCAUCAUUCUGGGAUCACAGCCUCCCCAAGGAUGUCUCUGCAGGAUAUCCAUGUUGCAGAGAGCUCAGCCCCUUGACAGGACCGCUGUGCCUGGGCCACCUAAGGCUGAGCAUCUCUCUUGCUUCUUUUCUACACCAGCUCCAGGCCAAGGCAUAUCUAGACCUUUCAGAAUGCUGAGCCCAUGUUUUCUUAAACAUCAGACUUCCUGUGUCACAUUUGGGUCUCUGGGUCACGCAGGCUGGAUUCUUCAUUCUUGUCAUCUCUCCCACAGUUUCCCAGCUCAGGAAAUGGUCAGCACACCUGCACCAAGAGGAGGAAAAACCCACUCACUGUCAGUAUAGAUGUUAGUGGGCUCAGAGGGGAACAUUUGUAAGGCUUGGCACACGGCAAAAAGUUCAACUCGCUGUGGAGAAGAAUAAGUAGUGGGAAACCGAAAAGGACGGUUGUCAGCGAUGACGGCUGCAACACCUGUUUUCGAACCAUCAGUGAACAAAACGUGAGCAUGGGCCAAUGGCUGAUGAGAAUGAUGAAGAGGAAGAACAAAUGAGUUGCAGGGUAGGUCUCUCGGCAUCAACAGCCUGCAACCAAUAGACAUCAGGGGAACCGAAACUGCGGCUGCCGCGCGCAGAAGAGGAAGCUGUUUGCCCUACUUGAGAAACAUAGGGUGCGGCCUCCGCAGUCUGUCCUGUACUAACCACUAACUGUGAAAAGCCAUUCUCAGCGCUUCACUGAUCUACUAAGAACAGGAAGAUACCCAACGACAGGAUCUUCAGUGGUCAGGUCCUUGACCAUGCCACCUACUCCCCUGUCUGCAGGUCUUGCCAGUGCAUGGGAACAACUCUGCUUUGGCUCCCCACACCCAGGACUGAGCCAGGUCAGCACUAUAUCUGGAAUUCCCUGACCUGCGUCCUCAGGCAGCAUUUCAUAUUUGAGUGCCUUGUUGCUGGGACGCAGUGAGUCUCAGACAGCCCUGAGAACAGACUACUGGGGAUGGAAGGGAGGUCUCUGCUUGUACGCUAGAAAAGCAGAGUCCAUGCCGCAGGGGACUGUUCACCUGCUACGAUGUCCCCAGGUUCUGACCAUCAUGUGAGCUAGGAAAGACUCAUUUUGCUUCUUUGAAGAAAAAAUGUCCAGCUCCACAGGCAGUGGUGUUAGCACAUGUGGACAAGCAGCCAAGACUUCGGUGUCAUCAGAUGUUUUGGUUUUGUUUUGUUUUGCUGAGACUUCAGAAGAAUGGAUGGGAAAUUGAGAGAAGAGCCUUUUACAACUAGAAAGUACUUCCAAAUGUAGUUUGUGCCCAGGCCAGUUAUUUCAAAAUUUAAAAAUUGUCACAGAACAAGACCUAGAGCAGGGUGAGGUUUUCGUCCCACUUCCCCAUCUGUGUGUGUCACUGUGAGAAGCAUUGCUUGGCCAAAUCAUACAGUAAUAGUCAGCCUCAUCCUCAGACUGGAGCCCGGAGAUGAGUAAAAUCCCUGCAUUGGCCGAGGCAUCUUUGGAUCCAGAGAAGCGGCUGGGGACUCCAGAGCCCUGGUGCUUAUCUGAGUCUGAGUAAUAGUACAGGAGAUACCUGGGAGGGCUCCUUGGCUUCAGCUGGUACCAGUAUAUGUUGCAGCUACCAACAUUGAUGUCACUGGGCAAGGUGCAGGUGAGUCUGGCGGAUUCUCCAGGAGAUGCGGAGAAGGAAGGUGGCUGAGUCAGCACAGGCUGCGAGAGGGAACCUGCAAACACAGACACUCGUGGUUGAUGGGCAGGGUUCAGGGUGAAGUUUUUCAGGGAUCUUUACCAGAAGAGCCAGAAUCAGGCUGAGGUGCUGACCCUGGUCUCUGAGGCCUGUCCCUACCUAUGCAGUGAGAGAGGAGCAGGAGGAGGAGAGGAGUCCCGGCCAUGGUGGAUGCAGCCUGACAUGCACAGUGGGACUGGGCUGCCCCAGGCCUCCUUUUCUUCCCACGCUCUGCAGAGGAGGGGCGGCUCAUGCAAAUGUGUUUCCAUCCAGCAACUGCCCAGCCCCUCUCUAAGCUCUGGGGCUGAAGCUUAGCUCACACUGCAGACUGAGGAGGAAGAAGUUUUGCUUUUCCCCUUGAGAGGGCUCCAGAAGAAAGCACCUGCUGAAACCACACACACCUUCCUGCUCAGGAGACUCUGCCAUGCCAUGGGAGGGCAUAGACGCUAAGUCCCCAUCAGUAAGCACAAGGUCUUAGCCCCUAGUCUUGGAUUUCUUUGAGUGAAUGGUCCUUUCUGAGCAGCUGUGUAGGGACCAUAGGGCAGUCCCCCAGCAUCCCAUGCUGAUUAGAGGACACUUACCUCCUGAUGGCCCUGCUGAUCUCUGCAGCCCAUUAGUCACUGUCUCUAUUCACACCUCUAUGGUCUGAUUGCUAGACACUAAUUCCAUAAGGCUAUGCAUGAUUAUUGUGAUUUCUCACUCCCAGAAUGAGUCUUGGUCCAUGAGAUGUAGACAUGUACAUAUAUAACUUUUAAAAUCUAGAAAAAUCUAACUGCCUACAUGUGCCAUCAGGGCAGGCAUCAUGGAGAAGGGGUCAGCUGAGGAGCUAGGUUGAAGGGCAGUUAGGGGCUGCUCAAAAGAAUGGUGAAUAAUGAGAAUUUUGCAAGAAAAAUAAAUGAUCCAUGACAUGUUAAAGUAGCAAUUCAACAAAAGUUACCUCUACAGUGGUUUCAUACAUUUUAUAGAGUUUUUACUCAAUAUAGUGAUAUAGGGAAAUGAAUAGCAUUGGUAAACUUACCAGUGAGUAGUGUGACAUAUUUCUCAUUUUAUAAAGUCAACCAUUAUCUCCCUAAGUAAAACUUGUUGUUUUCUGCACA